rnacentral:rRNA from 1 species
CUACGGAGGACGCGAGCGUUAUCCGGAUUCAUUGGGUUUAAAGGGUGCGCAGGCGGCCGUGCAAGUCAGCGGUGAAAGCCCGGGGCUCAACCCCGGAAGUGCCGUUGAUACUGCGUGGCUGGAAUGCGGUCGAGGCGGGCGGAAAGCGGGGUGUAGCGGGGAAAUGCGUAGAUGUGGCACAGAACGACGAUAGCGGAGGAGGCGCGACAGGGCUGCAGUGACGCUCGGGCACAAAAGCGUGGGGAUAGAACAGGAUUAGAUACCCUGGUAGUCCACGCAGUAAACGAUGAAUACUAGCUGUUUGCGAUACAAUGUAAGCGGCUGAGAGAAAGCGUUAAGUAAUCCCCCUGGGGAGUACGUUCGCAAGAAUGAAACUCACAGGAAUUUACGGGG